rnacentral:rRNA from 1 species
GAGUUUGAUCUUGGCUCAGGAUGAACGCUGGCGGCGUGCUUAACACAUGCAAGUCGAACGAAGCACCUUAUUCUGAUUUCUUCGGAAUGAAAAAUUUGGUGACUGAGUGGCGGACGGGUGAGUAACGCGUGGGUAACCUGCCUCAUACAGGGGGAUAACAGUUAGAAAUGACUGCUAAUACCGCAUAAGACCACAGCACCGCAUGGUGCAGGGGUAAAAACUCCGGUGGUAUGAGAUGGACCCCGCGUCUGAUUAGGUAGUUGGUGGGGUAACGGCCUACCAAGCCGACGAUCAGUAGCCGACCUGAGAGGGUGACCGGCCACAUUGGGACUGAGACACGGCCCAAACUCCUACGGGAGCAG